AUAUACAAACAAAGGUUGAAUUCAUCAAAUUAAUAGAAAGAGGAAAAGUUAGGUCUGACAAAAGAAUUCAUUGGACAAAAUAGUCACACACAUACGACUUUUUCGCCGGUUGUGUUACAUACGCGCCACCUUUGAAAAGCCGGUUUAAAUUGAAGACCCCAGUCUGUUUGCAGAUUUGACCCACCAGGUGUGCUCUCCUAUCCAAUUACUAUAGAACACGUGUCUGAAAACCUCUAAAAAUCUCUUAACAAAGAUUAGACACAAAACAAACAAAAAAAAAGUUAAGAAAGUGAAAGAAAAAACCACAAUCUCCGCUGGCUUGGAACCCUUUCUCUCACCUUCUCUCGUUCGACCUCUCUCCCUCUCCAUCUCUUUAUAUACUGACUGUGUAGCCAUUAGAGUCUAUUCAAAGAAGAAGAAGAAACACUCAUCCAACAGCGAGAUCUCUUUAAAUCGAAAGACGAUUGAAUUUAGGGUUCUUUCGUGAAAAUCAUUAGGGUUUGGAGAGAUCUGUGAGAAUGGGGAGGGAGAAUAAGAGGGUUGCACAGAAAAUCCAAGUGGGUUUAUUGAAUUAAGUUGUAAAAAGAUAGAGAAGGAGGUGAUUGUAGAAAUGCAACAGAGAAAAACUGACAGAAGAGAGUGAGCACAUGCAGGCACUGUUAUGUCUCUAUAACUUUGCGUGUGCGUGCUCACGGCUCUUUCUGUCAGUUGCCUGACUUCUCGCUUUCUCUCUCUUUCUUCUCUCUCUCAAAUUUGUUGAACCUCCUAUCAUCUACAUACCACUUACCUUCUUAUCAUCUUUUUUGUUGUGCACUUGGCUAGUAAUGUGAAUAAGACUGAUGCCCCCUGUGCCCUGUCAUUAUCAUUUCGUUGUGUGUAGAAAUUAUGUCUUUUCCUAUUUCUUUUUGUAUUGGUGUUGAAAUGGGUGCUUGCUUUCGCUUAGGAAUGUUUGUUCUUAAGCAAGUUUGGUUGAGAAAAGCUCAGAUUUUUAUAUUUGGGUUUAUCAUAGAGAUAAAACUUUAAGUGUGCUAUAUAUUAUGUUUGUUUUCUUUUAGUGGAUCUAGGAAAUGCGCGAGUUUUGAUGAUGAUGAACCCCCACCGGUACACAUUCUUCUCGAAGAUUAAUUAACUGUUUAUUGAUGGUCUCUUUUUCUUUAAAUUGGGAUGCAAUCUGUGUUUUUUCCUUUUUGGUUUGUUAAAGUUUCUGCAUGUUGAAAUUCUCUAAUGAUGCAACUGUUUUUCUCCUUACAUUUUACUUUUCAGUUUUUAGAAGCCAGAUGUGGCUUUCAGGUUUCACCAAGAGCCAUAAAUGAUGGAAUAGUGAUCUCUUUUCAGUUCUAUUUCAUGUGUAGACACUAGUUCUGUGCCGUUUCAAUGGGAGUGGGAACUUUUCUAAUGAUAGGUGAAGGAGAUUCGCUUAAAUUGACUACUCUGCAAGUUGAGAUCAAAUAUAAGAAGAUUAUGGUGUAAAGAUGAUACCCUGAAUUCUAUCAAUAAGAGUGCUUCAUCAGCGGUCCAAUUUUCAGAAACAGCUAAAGGUUCGAUCCUGCUCAUGUUCACAGCAACAUGUGUGAGUUUAUUAUGAUUAUUUGGUAAUGUUAUUGUUUGUUUUUCCCUUUUCCCGAAAGUUACUCUUAUAGAGAAUUGUGGAUUUGUGAAUUUCUUUUACGGAUCUUUUAAUCGAGAGAUUAGUUGUUGAACUGAUCAAAUAACAAUCAAACUAGAUGGUGAAUCUGUAUGCUGGCUUAAAAGAACGGAUUCAUCUUAAACCGGGUAGAUACAAUGCGGAGUAGUCGACCAAUAUUUAGGCUAGUUGGCCAAUUUUUUGGAUUAUAUGUUUUGAUUGUG